GAUGAACGCUGGCGGCGUGCCUAAUACAUGCAAGUCGAGCGAACAGAUGAGAAGCUUGCUUCUCUGAUGUUAGCGGCGGACGGGUGAGUAACACGUGGGUAACCUACCUAUAAGACUGGGAUAACUCCGGGAAACCGGGGCUAAUACCGGAUAAUAUUUUGAAUCGCAUGGUUCAAUAGUGAAAGACGGUUUCGGCUGUCACUGAUAGAUGGACCCGCGCCGUAUUAGCUAGUUGGUAAGGUAACGGCUUACCAUGGCGACGAUACGUAACCGACCUGAGAGGGUGAGCGGCCACACUGGAACUGAGACACGGUCCAGACUCCUACGGGAGGCAGCAGUAGGGAAUCUUCCGCAAUGGGCGAAAGCCUGACGGAGCAACGCCGCGUGAGUGAUGAAGGUCUUCGGAUCGUAAAACUCUGUUGUUAGGGAAGAACAAAUUUGUUAGUAACUGAACAAGUCUUGACGGUACCUAACCAGAAAGCCACGGCUAACUACGUGCCAGCAGCCGCGGUAA
rnacentral:rRNA from 1 species